CAGGAACUGGAUGACAUAUGCCAUGAGAGCAACUGGAUUCUUCCAAGAUACAGUGUACUUCCUUCAGUUACCGGUGAUAUGUACCAGGCCAGUGUCCACCUUACAGGCCCAGAUUUCAACUUGAGUGCAGAUGGUGACAUGAAGGUCACCCCUCAUGAUGCACGAGACUCAGCGGCAUCCAACAUGUUGUCUCAGCUUCAACAGAAGGCAAGGGAAGACUUGGAGAACAGCAUGUCUGCACACAACCCCUGAUGCUUCAUCCCUGCUGAUAUAAAUCAUCUGGAUCAUUUGACUAGAAUGAUAGCAUUCAGAUUAUUUAGUCUAGCAUUCUUCUAAACAGAGGCAUUAAGCACACUUUGUGGGGUGUCCAUGGGCAUGUCCAUGUGUGGAUUUCAUGGUUGUUUGUGACUUGUACGUGGAGGUGCAGAUGUAAUUUGAAAUGCAUAGCUACAAUGUGCUGGGUUCUGACUCGCUACCUGUUUAAUUUGUCUCUAGCGCGAUUGUAUGGCA